GUAAGUCUGAGAAUUUGACAAAAGGGC
rnacentral:piRNA from 1 species